rnacentral:rRNA from 1 species
GAUGGAAGCUUGCUUCCAGGCGUCGAGUGGCGGACGGGUGAGUAAUACAUAGGAAUCUGCCCAGUAGCGGGGGACAACUCGAGGAAACUCGAGCUAAUACCGCAUACGCCCUACGGGGGAAAGCAGGGGAUCUUCGGACCUUGCACUAUUGGAUGAGCCUAUGUCUGAUUAGCUUGUUGGUGGGGUAACGGCUUACCAAGGCGACGAUCAGUAGCUGGUUUGAGAGAACGAUCAGCCACACUGGGACUGAGACACGGCCCAGACUCCUACGGGAGGCAGCAGUGGGGAAUAUUGGACAAUGGGGGCAACCCUGAUCCAGCAAUGCCGCGUGUGUGAAGAAGGCCUUCGGGUUGUAAAGCACUUUCAGUAGGGAAGAAAAGCUAAAGGUUAAUACCCUUGAGUCUUGACGUUACCUACAGAAGAAGCACCGGCUAACUCUGUGCCAGCAGCCGCGGUAAUACAGAGGGUGCAAGCGUUAAUCGGAAUUACUGGGCGUAAAGCGCGCGUAGGUGGUUAGAUAAGUCGGAUGUGAAAGCCCCGGGCUUAACCUGGGAAUUGCAUUCGAUACUGUCUGGCUAGAGUAUGGUAGAGGGAAGUGGAAUUCCACAUGUAGCGGUGAAAUGCGUAGAUAUGUGGAGGAACAUCAGUGGCGAAGGCGACUUCCUGGACCAAUGCUGACACUGAGGUGCG